rnacentral:rRNA from 1 species
AUACGUAGGAUCCAAGCGUUGUCCGGAUUUACUGGGCGUAAAGGGUGUGUAGGCGGUAUGGUAAGUCUCAUGUGAAAUCUCCCGGCUCAACUGGGAGCGGUCAUGGGAUACUGUCAAACUCGAGGGCAGCAGAGGAGAGCGGAAUUCCGGGAGUAGUGGUGAAAUGCGUAGAUACCCGGAGGAACACCCGUGGCGAAAGCGGCUCUCUGGGCUGUACCUGACGCUGAUACACGAAAGCGUGGGGAGCAAACCGGAUUAGAAACCCUUGUAGUCC